rnacentral:rRNA from 1 species
GGUCCCAAGCGUUGUUCGGAUUCACUGGGCGUAAAGGGUGCGUAGGUGGCCGGGUAAGUCUGACGUGAAAUCUCCGAGCCUAACUCGGAAACUGCAUCGGAUACUAUCCGGCUUGAGGAUUGGAGGGGGGACUGGAAUACUUGGUGUAGCAGUGAAAUGCGUAGAUAUCAAGUGGAACACCAGUGGCGAAGGCGAGUCCCUGGACAAUUCCUGACACUGAGGCACGAAAGCUAGGGGAGCAAACAGG